rnacentral:rRNA from 1 species
UACGUAGGGUGCAAGCGUUUGUCCGGAAUUAUUGGGCGUAAAGAGCUCGUAGGCGGUCUGUCACGUCGGCUGUGAAAACCCGAGGCUCAACCUCGGGCCUGCAGUCGAUACGGGCAAACUAGAGUACUGCAGGGGGAGACUGGAAUUCCUGGUGUAGCGGUGAAAUGCGCAGAUAUCAGGAGGAACACCGGUGGCGAAGGCGGGUCUCUGGGCAGUAACUGACGCUGGAGGAGCGAAAGCGUGGGGAGCGAACAGG